ensembl:lncRNA MIR4435-2HG MIR4435-2 host gene
CUUCUUAGUCGUGUGUACAUCAUUGGGAAUGGAGGGAAAUAAAUGACUGGAUGGUCGCUGCUUUUUAAGUUUCAAAUUGACAUUCCAGACAAGCGGUGCCUGAGCCCGUGCCUGUCUUCAGAUCUUCACAGCACAGUUCCUGGGAAGGUGGAGCCACCAGCCUCUCCCUGACAAGCAAAGUGGAUCAGCAAAGGCUGCAGUCACCAGCAUCUUUUCCAACCUUAAUGAACUGUAUCCUCAAAAGAACACUAUCAGACUGAUGAGGAAACUGAAUCCCAGAAUGGUGGAGUGAUUUGACGAAUAUUGCAAAACUAUAAUGGGGAGAUGAGAUGGGGAUCCAAGUCUUGUGCCCCCAAAGACAGGGCACCAGGCAGCGUAGAGGUGGCCAGUACCAGAGCAACAGCCUAACAAUGGCUCUGCCGACUUCCAGUUCUGGAACAAGAUGGUUAAACUCAUUUUUCCCUGCUCUGCUCCUCUAAAUACAACUAAGUACCUUGGAAACUAUUCAGCAGACAAUGAUAAAGGGCUCUGAAAGCUAGAAGAAAAGGUGUACUUGCAAGAAACCUCAGGACUUGAGUAACAGCAACAUGGCAGGCCAGAAAGCAGACCCAGGGAGGAUAGCACAUGUCUUCGGCUACACUGGUGAAGGCAUCGUGCCUGCUCCACAGCACAUUUUUAUUCAAGGAAAGGAGAAAGAGACUACCUACUGCAUUUCUGUCACUCGCUGAAAAGGACACUCUGUCAGAAAAUCUUCUAGCAAACUUCAAAGGGCAAAAUCACCCCUUGUUACUGAUAAAGCCCAGAGAGCUUCAGCAGCUAACAUUCCCUGGACAGGGCACAGCAAGGAUUUGAACCUAGGUCAGUCUGGCCAGAACACCCACAAGCUUUCCUUAACUCAGUGUGCUAUCUCCCCACGACUAGGUCACUACUGCUUUAUAAUCACCUUUGUAGCCACCAGUGGAUUUUGCUCAUCAGUAUUUUUCAGGCAAUUGAUACUUUAGAUAUUCAGCUGCAAGACGUAUGCAGUUUUCAUUGACAUCUUUUGGAGAAACUGACAAACCUGGACUUGACUUAAUGCCUUUGGAACCUUCCAAGAUGUUAUAUAACUCUAGAUAGAAGGCUGGGCCUCCAUGAUGUCAGGAAUGUUGCAUUCUUAUUUCCCCAUAGAUAAACCCAUUUGUCCACAAAGUCAAGGAGUCAGGCAGAGGCCCUUGCCAUGGGGCUUUUUAGGAUAAAGCAACAAGCCUGGACUUUGCUCUACAACAGGGUUUUGCAUAGGGAGUGGUAUGACCAGAUCCCUCAAGAAAGAAAGCUUAGAGACCAGGCCAGAGUCCACUGCAGUAGCCCAGUCAAGAGAGGAUGGUGACUUGGACUUGUAGUAGAGCCAGUUAGAAUGAAAGAAAUUGACACAUUCAGAAAUGGUUUUAGAGAUAGAGUCAAACUGGACCUGAUAAAGAACUAGAGAAGCGGAGUGAGGAUAAAGAGAAGAGCCAUGACUGACUCGGAAGAUUUUGUCUUGAAAAACUUGAGAACUCAAGACAGAGUGAAAUAAAAUCACAUGUGGGAAAAA